GGGGAAUAUUGCGCAAUGGAGGGAACUCUGACGCAGCAACGCCGCGUGAAGGAAGAAGGCUUUCGGGUUGUAAACUUCUUUGAUCGGGGACGAAGAUGACGGUACCCGAGGAACAAGCCACGGCUAACUACGUGCCAGCAGCCGCGGUAAUACGUAGGUGGCAAGCGUUGUCCGGAAUUACCGGGUGUAAAGGGCGUGUAGGCGGGAGGACAAGUCAGAUGUGAAAGCCCAUGGCUUAACUGUGGAAUUGCAUCUGAAACUGUUUUUCUUGAGUGCUGGAGAGGAAAGUGGAAUUCCUAGUGUAGCGGUGAAAUGCGUAGAGAUUAGGAGGAACACCAGUGGCGAAGGCGGCUUUCUGGACAGUAACUGACGCUGAGGCGCGAAAGCGUGGGGAGCAAAC
rnacentral:rRNA from 1 species